rnacentral:snRNA from 1 species
GUGCUCACUUCAGUAGCACAUAUACUGAAAUUGGAACAAUACAGAGAAGAUUAGCAUGACCCCUGUGCAAGGUUGACAUGCAAAUUUAUGAAGUGUCCCAUACUUUU